AGUCUCAUGGGAAGAAGGAAACGAAGAAAACCGAGAAAAUCUUGGUAAGAUAAUGUCGAUGAAGCAAUAAAGAAUUAGAGAACCGACGACUAGAAAGACAGAAAUAGAUAGACAGCUUGAUUAAGAAGAGGAAGACAACAAUAAAAUGGACAGUGAAUUAUCCAUUAACAAUUUCCUAUGAUUGAAAAUAUAGAACAAAAAAAAUGAACCGAAAGCUUUUACGAAGUGAAAAUUUGAAUUAAAAGAAAUAUUGACAGAUAUUUCAACUCAAGGAACGACAAAUACUUCAUGGUAGAAUUUCCGGUGCCAAUAUCACCAGCAAGCUGCUCAAUCUACCCAUCAAUUGAGCAAGCCAAAACAAAAACGAAGAUCACAAUUUAUAAGGCAAUAAUCAAAUCAAUAAAGACAGACAGUAAAAUGUGACAGCUGAAAAGGCUUCUUGGGUGUUAAUAUCAUCGAUAGAUAAAGAGCAAAUUAAUAACAGGAACCUCCGGGUCACAAAAAUAUAGAACGAACGAAACUGAAGUGAAGCGACAUUCUUUAACAUAACUAGGCAUAGAGGCGAAGAAAGAAUGACCAAAUUGUAGAAUAAUGGUGUGGAGGAAAAACUGUACCAACUGUUUGCUUCAAUUUAAUUAUUAGCACUUUACUGUAUAAAAUAAUGGUUACUAUAUACUAGAAUAUUUGCGUAA